AAGAGAUAGGAUGUUGCCCCUUGCAAGUAGAGACUGCAGCACUUGAGCAUGCAGGGAGGUAAUGAGAGAAGAGCAAGAAGAAAGAAGAUCCAUCUUGCUAGCAGACAGUCAGACUUCAGGAGUUCUGCGCUGCACUAGGGCUGAAGCCCAUUUUUUGUCUGCGCUAAGUCUGGAUUCUCAUCUGCCAAGUGGGGCCAGAGAGCCUAGCAUCCAAGGAUAGAGAGGAAAUCUUCUGGAGAACCUCAACAAGGUGAAACAAGGUGGCCAACAACGUUGAAGAAAACAUCAUGCUAAAAAGCAUAGAAGCAAGCACACAACCUUGUUUCAUUCCAUUGGUGACUGGGA